ACCAAUUCUGGGGGAUGAUUAGUUCCUCUUGGCAUAAUGGCUCAGACGCUAUAUCAAUACAUGUGGUCAUCCUGAUUAUUGGCUUCGUUUUUCAUGUCAUUUGAUCCUGGAAACGCCACAGAUAUUU